GUUUCUGUAGUGUAGUGGUUAUCACGUUCGCCUAACACGCGAAAGGUCCCUGCUUCGAAACCGGGCAGAAACA
rfam:Xenopus tropicalis strain Nigerian Chr03_contig_3064, whole genome shotgun sequence.